UGGGUAACCUACCUAUAAGACUGGGAUAACUUCGGGAAACCGGAGCUAAUACCGGAUAAUAUUUCGAACCGCAUGGUUCGAUAGUGAAAGAUGGCUUUGCUAUCACUUAUAGAUGGACCUGCGCCGUAUUAGCUAGUUGGUAAGGUAACGGCUUACCAAGGCAACGAUACGUAGCCGACCUGAGAGGGUGAUCGGCCACACUGGAACUGAGACACGGUCCAGACUCCUACGGGAGGCAGCAGUAGGGAAUCUUCCGCAAUGGGCGAAAGCCUGACGGAGCAACGCCGCGUGAGUGAUGAAGGUCUUCGGAUCGUAAAACUCUGUUAUUAGGGAAGAACAAACGUGUAAGUAACUGUGCACGUCUUGACGGUACCUAAUCAGAAAGCCACGGCUAACUACGUGCCAGCAGCCGCGGGUAAUACGUAGGUGGCAAGCGGUAUCCGGAAUUAUUGGGCGUAAAGCGCGCGGUAGGCGGUUUUU
rnacentral:rRNA from 1 species